rnacentral:rRNA from 1 species
UACGAAGGGGGCUAGCGUUGCUCGGAAUCACUGGGCGUAAAGCGCACGUAGGCGGAUUUCUAAGUCAGGGGUGAAAUCCUGGAGCUCAACUCCAGAACUGCCUUUGAUACUGGAGAGCUUGAGUCCGGGAGAGGUGAGUGGAACUCCGAGUGUAGAGGUGAAAUUCGUAGAUAUUCGGAAGAACACCAGUGGCGAAGGCGGCUCACUGGCCCGGUACUGACGCUGAGGUGCGAAAGCGUGGGGAGCAAACAGG